rnacentral:rRNA from 1 species
GUGCCAGCCGCCGCGGUAAUACGUAGGGUGCGAGCGUUAAUCGGAAUUACUGGGCGUAAAGCGUGCGCAGGCUGUUUUGUAAGUCAGAUGUGAAAUCCCCGAGCUCAACUUGGGAACUGCGUUUGAAACUACAAGACUAGAAUAUGUCAGAGGGGGGUAGAAUUCCACGUGUAGCAGUGAAAUGCGUAGAGAUGUGGAGGAAUAUCAAUGGCGAAGGCAGCCCCCUGGGAUAAUAUUGACGCUCAUGCACGAAAGCGUGGGGAGCAAACAGGAUUAGAUACCCCCGUAGUCC